GAUUCCCCCUGUUUCUGGGCCUUUAAUCGGCCCCUGUUCCUUCGGAAUCCAGAAACAACCCUUUUCCAGGAAGGCCAGGGAGAGGAAAGGGGAAGCUGGAAAGGGCUCUUGAGAAGCAGUAGGAGAGAAAACAAGGGGUCAAGGGGACCUCAGCUAUUACAGGUUCACUCUGGAAUCUGGGGGUCUGAACGGCAAACCAGGCAACUUGUGUGGUGACCUGUGUGAGCGGAACAUGGCCCUCACAAAGCCCUUUCUUUUCUCUCUUUAGAGAGAUGGACUAGCACCCCCUUAUCGGCUGUGAGCACGGAGGAGCUCCACGGGGGCGGAGUGCCUCGCUUUGCUUGUAGGUCUGGACCCGAGAUUCCUGUGAUAAACUGGAAAACAAUUCAGUGCGCUUCACUGUUAGAUGCGGCUCUUUCAAAGGCAGGGAAAAGGAGGCCCUCAGGAAAGAGCUGUCUGGUCCAGCCCAGGCAUAGAGGCUUCCAGACGUUUCCAGGGGCCGAGCUGCUUUCCCUUCUCCAGAGAGAUGGCCUGGCUUGUGCACUCAUGCAAGACGCUGCUAGAAGAGAAAACCCUGUUACACAGAGGAUGGAGUGAUUUAUGCAGACUGCAGUUUAAAGGGCAUUUCGCAGCCCUGUGGAAUGCAAGAGGCAGCAGGAUUUGAAGACCUUUCUCUUCAAGCUGGAAAGCCGUACGACAGAUUCUCACUGCAUCCUGAUUACGCAGUGACUCUGUCUCCCUAGCAAAUGGCCCGUGGAGAAUGAAGGAGAAAGCAGGAAUGCCCUCCUCAAAAGUGAUUACGUGGAAAUUUGGAUUCCAAGGAUGGAGAGGGAAGCAUGUGGCUUUGUGCUGAGCUGUGUAAUACGUCAGGGCUCAGAAGAUACUGUGAGACAGAUAACAGAGGCAGCAGCAGGCUCUAUUUAGAGAAGAGAGAUGAGUAGAAUUCCAUGUCCUAUGGUCCACCUGUCCUGUCUCCAGGUGUUGACAUGUAAAUUAUGAGCCCAGUCACAGGCACCCUACGUGUGCUUCCUUGGCCUUUCUUCUGGCCCUGUAGACAGUGGGCUGACUUUGGUCACCAGUGCU